GCCUGGUAUUUUACGUUUAAUGUAUUGUUAGAUUUAUCAGGCGUGGUGGCUCAUGCCUACAGAUGUGAUUACAAUCCUAGCCUUUUGGGAAGCUGAAGUGGGUGGAUCACUCGAGCCUAGGAGUUUGAUACCACCCUGGGCAACAUGGCAAAACGCCAUCUCUACAAAAACAAAAACAAAAAGAAAAAAACAACCAACCAAAUCAAACAAAACAAAACAAAAACUAGCUAGGCGUGGUGGCUUGUGCCUAUAGUCCCAGCUACUCAGGAGGCCGAGGUGGGAUUCCUUGAUCCCAGGAGGCGGAGGUUACAGUGAACCAUGAGACUCGCUCUGGCCUGGGUGACAGACCAAGACCCUGUCUCAAAAAAAAACAACAACAAAAAAACAAGGCCGGAUGCAGUGGCUCACGCCUGUAAUCCCAACACUUUGGGAGGAUGAGGCGGGCGGAUCACUUGAAGUCAGAAGUUUGAGACCAGCCUGUCCAACAUGGUGAAACCCCGUUUCUACUAAAAAUACAAAAUUAGCCAGGCGUGGUGGGGCAUGCCUGUAAUCCCUGCUACUCGGGAGGCUGAGGCAGGAGAAUCACUUGAACCCAGGAGGUGGAGGUUGCAGUGAGCCGAGAUCAUGCCAUUGCAGUCCAGCCUGGGCAACAGGAGCAAAACUCCGUCUCAAAACAAACAAACAAAUAUAGAUAUAUAGAUAGAUGUGGGGGUGGGGGAGACAGUUGGAUUCAAUUUGCUAAAAUUGUGAUUAAACAUUUUGUAUCUAUGUUAAUGAAGGACAUUGGUAUAUAGUUUUUUUCUUAUAGCAUCAUUUUUUUUUCUUUUUUUUGAAACAGUUUUAUUUUGUCACCCAGGCUGGAGAGCCGUGGCGCCAUCAGCUCACUGUAACCUCAAACUCCUGGGCUCAAGGGAUCUUCCUACCUUAGUCUCCCAAGUUGUUGGAAAAAUAGGUGCACACCACCACACCCAGUUAUUUUUCCAAAUUGGCUGUAUAAUUUUGCAUUUCCAUCAGCAAUGUAUGAGGGUUCCACUUGCUCCAAAUCCUUGUCAAUAUUUGGUAUUUUCAGUUUUUUUUUUUUUUGAAAUGGAGUCUUGCUCUGUCACCCAGGCUGGAGUGGAGUGGCAUGAUCUCGGCUCACUGUGACCUGUUGUUGACCAAAUACACACAUUGAAAAAUGUAAUUCAAGAGUGGGAUAUCAGAUUCUUGGCUUAUAACUAAUGAUCAAGAUUGUACAAUGAGCAAUAGUCAGAUUAUUCCUUUCAAUGGUUCUUAUGGCAUCUAAAUUACUGAUUAAUCCAUCAAUCAAUCAUAAAUUGUGAUUAAAAUUAUCAAAUGAAUUUUCAGCAUUGAAAACUGUUGUGUGAAACAUGUCUAACCAGAGAAGUAACAUCCUAUAAACACUACUUUAGCUAAAUUGUUUUAAAGUAUUAUAAAUAAAGUGAAUUUCAGAGUAAAAAUAAGGUACGUUUUCUGAGCAAUAAUCAAUAAGUUAAUCCAUAAUUUCUUAAUUUGCAAAUUUGUUUCUUAUUUCAGGAUUUGGAAUAUAGUGUGAGGGUUUUGUUUUGUUUUGUUUUGUUUUUUUUAAGACGGAAUCUUACUCUGUUGCCCAGGCUGGAGUGCAGUGGUGUGAUCUUGGCUCACUCAACCUCUGCCUCCUGGGUUCAAGUGAUUCUUCUUCCUCAGCCUCCCGACUAGCUGGGAUUACCAGCGCGUGCCAUGCCCGGUUAAUUUUUGUAUUUUUAGUAGAGACAGGGUUUUGGCAUGUUGGCCAGGCUGGUCUCAAACUCCUGACCUCAGAUGAUUCGCCUGCCUUGGCCUCCCAAAGUGGUGGGAUUAUGGGCGUGAGCCACUGCGCCCGGCCUAAUUUCUUAAUAGAUAUCUAAAUACAUAUGCAUAUACUUAUUAUGUAUUUAUUUAUUUUUUGAGACAUGGUCUUGCUCUGUUGUCCAGACUGGAGUGCAGUGGCGCGAUCUUGCCUCACUGCAGCCUCCAUCUCCUGGGCUCAAGCAAUCCGCCCACCUCAACCUCUUGAGUAGCUGGGACUAUAGGUGUAUGACCCUAUACCCAGCUAAUUUUUUAUUUUUAGUAGAGAUGAAGUCCUGUUAUGUUGCCCAGGGUGGUCUUGAGCCCCUUAGUUAAAGCAAUUCACCUGCCUGAGCCUCCCAAAGUGCUGGGAUUACAGGCGUGAGCCACCAUACCUGGCCUAAGUUUUAUUUUCUUGUCCAUUUUGCACUCUUUAAAACUGAAAUGUAUUCCCCCUGCCUCAGCCUCCCAAGUAGCUGGGACUAUAGGUGUGCACCACCACAGCUGGCUAAUCUCUUUUGUUUUUUGUAGAGCUGGGAGGGAGUCUGGCUAUGUUGCACAGGCUGGUCUUAAACUCCUGGUCUCAAGCAAUCCUUCCGCCUCAGCAUCUCAAAGUGCUGGGAUUACAGGCGUGAGCCACCAUGCUCGGCCUUUUUUUUUGUAUUUUUCUUUAUUCUAUUUUCUUCUGUUAAUUUGGAAAAGCAGUUACCCUACAUAUUUUAUCUUAUACACUUAAAAGAGUAAAGGUUAAAGUUAAUCAAUAUUUUUACCCACUUCCCAAACAAUACCAGGACCUUGGAAAACUUCAACUCCAACCAUCACUCCACUCAUCCUGCUUCUAAAUAUAUGACUUUGUUGUCCAGAGUAUCAGUUCCAUCUUGCUUUACCUUAUUAACCACACAAAUUACUUACUAUUACUUUGUAUGGUAAAAAGUUUUUAGUUUUAACCACUUAUUUACUAAUAUUUUUAUCAUUCCUUCUUGUAUAAGGGAUCAUUUCUUUCUUUUUUAUAAAAUUAUUUACUAUGUAAAAUUAAAAAAAUUUUUUUUCAGCACCUGACACUCCCAGUGUGGGCUGAGAUGCUGAGGCUAGGAUCAUUUCUUGUUGGUGGCAAACUCCAGAUUUUUUUGUCUGAAAAUGUCUUGAAACAGAUAACCUGGCUGAAAUCCUGGUUUUAUCAUUUCUUAGUCAUGUGACUCUAGAUAUGCACCAUAACCUCUGGAAUCAUUGGUUUAUUCAUCUGCAAAACUGGUAAUCUUGAGUACAUUCAUUCUCUGCUGGGUAAGACAAGUUUGGGAGGGAAGAUGCACUGAGAAGCUCCUGAGCAGAUGAGUUCUCUAGAAGAACGCCAAGAUCCAAAGCAAAACAGAAUAAAAGAUACACCAUAAUCACCUCUCUGAAUGUUUGAAAACUGUAGGGAGGCUGGGCGCCGUGGCUCAUGCCUGUAAUCCCAGCACUUUGGGAG
rnacentral:lncRNA from 10 species